GUUGAACGCUAGCUACAGGCUUAACACAUGCAAGUCGAGGGACCGGCGCACGGGUGAGAAACACGUACCUAAUCUUCGCUUUACCCGUCGCUAGCCUUUCGCAAGAAAGAUUAAUACCCGAUAUCAAGGAUGGGGAUGCGUUCCAUUUGGUGUUGUGUGAGGCAACGGCCCACCAAGCCUUCGCUGGAUAGGGGUUCUGAGAGGAAGGGCCCCCACAUUGGAGCUGCGACACGGUCCAAUCUCCUACGCGAGGCAGCAGUGAGGAAUAUUAUUCGCGGGGCGCUAGCCUGAACCAGCCAAGUAUCGUGAAGGAUGAAGGCGUAUGGGUCGUAAACUUCUUGUGUAUAAGAAUAUUUAUUAUAUGAAUAAGGAGCGGCUAACUCCGUGCCAGCAGCCGCGGUAAUAC
rnacentral:rRNA from 1 species